UACGUAGGGGGCAAGCGUUGUCCGGAAUUAUUGGGCGUAAAGAGCGUGUAGGCGGCCUGACAGGUCUGCUGUGAAAACUCGAGGCUCAACCUCGAGAUGUCGGCGGAAACCGUCUGGCUAGAGUCCGGAAGAGGAGAGUGGAAUUCCUGGUGUAGCGGUGAAAUGCGCAGAUAUCAGGAAGAACACCUAUGGCGAAGGCAGCUCUCUGGGACGGUACUGACGCUGAGACGCGAAAGCAUGGGGAGCGAACAGG
rnacentral:rRNA from 1 species